rnacentral:rRNA from 1 species
AGUGAACGCUGGCGGUAGGCCUAACACAUGCAAGUCGAACGGCAGCACAGUAAGAGUUUGUUUUUACGGUUGGCGAGUGGCGGACGGGUGAGGAAUACAUCGGAUUCUACUUUUUCUUGGGGGAUAACGUGGGGAAACUGCCGCUAAUACCGCAUAUGACCUACGGGUUAAAGCAGGGGUUCUUCGGACUUUUCGUGAUUGAAAUAGCUGAUGCCGGAUUAGCUAGUUGGGGGGGUAAAGGCCCACCAAGGCGACGAUCCGUAGCUGGUCUGAGAGGAUGAUCAGCCACACUGGAACUGAGACACGGUCCAGACUCCUACGGGAGGCAGCAGUGGGGAAUAUUGGACAAUGGGCGCAAGCCUGAUCCAGCCAUGCCGCGUGGGUGAAGAAGGCCUUCGGGUUGUAAAGCCCUUUUGUUGGGAAAGAAAAGCAGCAGGUUAAUACCCCGCUGUUCUGACGGUACCCAAAGAAUAAGCACCGGCUAACUUCGUG